rnacentral:lncRNA from 1 species
CUUUUAGCAAGAUCUUGUAAUAGAAACGUCAUCAGGAACUGAAUCAUUGUAAAGACAUGUUACUGGACCUGGCUCUUGGUAGACCCUAAAAUUUAGUGAGAAGAAAGUAAUUCUAGUGGAUUACUCAGAAGAGGUAAAUGGGAACUUCGUGAAGGUAAAUAAAAAUAAUGGAUUGUAUCUGAACAAAGACCCUACAACCAUACUGAGAAUUUAGCCCUGGGGACAUCUUCCGAUAUAAUCUGGCAUAGAAGAGUGGUUAUCACACCUUUAGCAUGGAUAGAAAUGCAAAACAAUAUUUGUAAUAGUCUGUGCUCACGCUGCUAUAAGGACAUACCCAAGACUAGGUAAGUUAUCAAGAAAAAGAGGUUUAAUUGACUCACAGUUCCAUGGCUGGGGAGGCCUCACAAUCAUGGUGGAAGAUGAAGGAGGAGCAAAGUCACAUCUUACAUGGCGGCAGGCAAGAGACUGCCUUUUAUAAAACCAUCAGAUCCUGUGAGACUUAUUCACUAUCACAAGAACAGCCCAGGAAAAACCCAUCCCCAUGAUUCAGCUACCUCCCACAGGGUUCCUUCCAUGACACAUGAAGAUUGUGGGAGCUAAGAUUCAAGAUGAGAUUUGGGUGGGGACACAGCCAAAACAUAUCAAAAUUUAACUGCUAUUUCUCCUUAUGUAGUUGAGAAUCUGAAUAAUAUUAUAUGAGAUAGAAUGAUAGAGUUUCUUUUGCAAAUGUCGAAGUCAUGCUUGUAAAAAGUAUCAUACAUAACCUUAUAUUGAGGCUUGUCUAGAGAUGCAAAUGACAAAGAUGAUCUCUGGUUAACAGUUCUACCUUGGAUCAACUUAUGCUUCAUCAAUUUACCUUCUACAUACUGUUCUUAAAUUCGCAAUAUAAAGUUUCUACAGAGUUUGAUUAAAA